GAUAGUGCUUUUCUUGUUGUUU
rnacentral:sRNA from 1 species